rnacentral:rRNA from 1 species
AACGCGAAGAACCUUACCAAGGUUUGACAUGGCCGGAAAAGCCGCAGAGAUGUGGUGUCCUUCGGGGUCGGUCACAGGUGGUGCAUGGCUGUCGUCAGCUCGUGUCGUGAGAUGUUGGGUUAAGUCCCGCAACGAGCGCAACCCUUAUCCCUAGUUGCCAUCGGGUCAAGCCGGGCACUCUAGUGAAACCGCGCGGGAUAACCGCGAGGAAGGUGGGGAUGACGUCAAGUCCUCAUGGCCUUUAUGUCCAGGGCUACACACGUGCUACAAUGGUCGGUACAAACCGUCGCAAACCCGCGAGGGGGAGCUAAUCGGAAAAAGCCGGCCUCAGUUCGGAUUGGAGUCUGCAACCCGACUCCAUGAAGCUGGAAUCGCUAGUAAUCGCGGAUCAGAACGCCGCGGUGAAUACGUUCCCGGGCCUUGUACACACCGCGCAUA